rnacentral:misc_RNA from 1 species
CAAAAUCGGUGCCUUCUGGCGCCUCUCGACUCCUUCCUGUGUGAGCACAAGCUUGCUUUGGCGCCUCUGGGCGCCACAUUUAUGCGGAUUUGCUUUUGAAUCUGAAGUAAAAUCAAAUUUA